CGAGAAAGCGUUGCCGCAGGCAACGACCCGAAGGGCGAAGCGCGCAGCGCUGAGUAAUCCUUCCCCCAUCACCA
rnacentral:sRNA from 1 species